GUCGGGAUAGCUCAGUUGGUAGAGCAGUGGACUGAA
rnacentral:tRNA from 1 species